AUACGAGGGGCGCAAGCGUUGUCCGGAUUCAUUGGGUGUAAAGGGUGCGUAGGUGGAUCGAUAAGUUGGAAUUUAAAUCCCGCAGCUUAACUGCGGACCUGGUUUCAAAACUGUCGGUCUUGAGUUCGAAAGAGGGGAGUGGAAUUCCUAGUGUAGCGGUGGAAUGCGUAGAUAUUAGGAGGAACACCAGUGGCGAAGGCGGCUCUCUGGUUCGAUACUGACACUAAGGCACGAAAGCGUGGGGAGCAAACAGGAUUAGAAACCCUAGUAGUCC
rnacentral:rRNA from 1 species